GACGAACGCUGGCGGCGUGCUUAACACAUGCAAGUCGAACGGUGAACGAGGGAGCUUGCUCCCUCCGGAUCAGUGGCGAACGAGUGAGUAACACGUGAGCAAUCUGCCCCGAACUCUGGGAUAAGCGUUGGAAACGACGUCUAAUACCGGAUACGACGCGGGAGGGCAUCCUCUCCGCGUGGAAAGAACUUCGGUUCGGGAUGAGCUCGCGGCCUAUCAGCUUGUUGGUGAGGUAACGGCUCACCAAGGCGACGACGGGUAGCCGGCCUGAGAGGGUGACCGGCCACACUGGGACUGAGACACGGCCCAGACUCCUACGGGAGGCAGCAGUGGGGAAUAUUGCACAAUGGGCGCAAGCCUGAUGCAGCAACGCCGCGUGAGGGACGACGGCCUUCGGGUUGUAAACCUCUUUUAGCAGGGAAGAAGCGAAAGUGACGGUACCUGCAGAAAAAGCACCGGCUAACUACGUG
rnacentral:rRNA from 1 species